rnacentral:rRNA from 1 species
AUACGUAGGGGGCGAGCGUUGUCCGGAAUGACUGGGCGUAAAGGGCGUGUAGGCGGCGGCGUAAGUCUGGAGUGAAAGUCCCGCAUUCAAUGUGGGAAUUGCUUUGGAUACUGCAGUGCUAGAGUGCGGAAGAGGUAAGUGGAAUUCCCAGUGUAGCGGUGAAAUGCGUAGAGAUUGGUAGGAACACCAGUGGCGAAGGCGACUUACUGAGCCUUAACUGAAGCUGAGGCUCGAAAGCGUGGGGUGUGAACAGGAUUAGAUACCCUGGUAGUCCACGCGGUAAACGAUGAAUGCUAGGUGUUCCGGGUAUCGACCCCUGCAGUGCCGGAGUAAACACAAUAAGCAUUCCGCCUGGGGAGUACGGCCUCAAGGUUGAAACUCAAAUGAAUUGGCGGUG